UAAUAUUCAUGCAACCUUAUCAUUGCAUAUAAGGUUCUUUACAUCUAAAUAUUUUUCCGACAUUGGAUAUUUUUUUACCGUUUAAUGCAAUAAAAAAAAAAAUUUAAAACCUUUUGGAACCUUAAUUUUUAAGAGUGUAUUGAGUGUGUUUUCUGAGUGUUUUACAUGAGAAAUACAAAUUUAUUUUAUGAUUGGUUUGACAUAGAUUGUUCCAUUUCAUUUAUGAUGCUGCCUUAGAAAUUAACUGCCUAUGUAGGCAGCAGACAGCAAGGCAGCUCACUGAGUUUUGGAACAGAGCUUAUAUUUAGAGGCACAGAACUAAAAUCUAAGAGAGAUAAUUUUGUGUUUUUGUCCAGUGUCCGAUGUGUUAAAAUUGACCUUCUGUUGAAACGUUUUGAACCUUCCAUUGUCAACUUUUCUCUUUUUCAACAUAUAAUUUCUCUCACUCAUAAUGAGUCUGUCGUUCUGAAUGAACUGGGAUGCACAAACCAGGCCUGGAGGCUGUGACAGCGAUGGGUUCCUGUUCUUCAGAAGACCUUUCUAUCUCUCGUUGUCUCAUCGGGACUGCAUUCUCACACCCAAUCAAGCCCUGGACCGAGGUCUUACCUCAUCAGUCACGUGACAGGAAAUCGAUGGACUGAGUUCAGUAUAGAGAGCCCUUGCUUCGUUAGUCUAUGCAGAAUACGGCCGGUACCUUCGAUUUUGAUUUCAGCUUUAAAAAGAGGCUGCAUCUUCGUAAUCUGUGUUCACAAAGUCAAUAUCUAUCCUCCAUUCCAAACAUGUCUAGCAUCAACGUCACAGCCAUUCUAGAGACACAUUAAAGGUGAAGUGUGUUAUUUUUUAUAUUAAAAUACUUUAAUAUACAAGUUUAAUGACCAAAGACAAGCUAUUUGUAGCAUGAUUUCCCUGUGUAGCUUUCCAAAUAUUUGCUCUGUUUGUUUGGUUGAUCUGAAACAGCGACAUUAAUUCAACCAAUGGAGUAAUUUUGCGGAUGAGGCACCUGUUUAUCCGAACAACUGAAUGUAACGGUGACUUUUUCAGCAGCCAUGACUCUGGAGGUCUUUUAUUCAUUUCCUCCAUAGAGAUUUCAAAUCAUUUUUCAAACAGGGCCUUGAACCAAAUCAACCAGCUCUGAGAUGAAUCACAUUAUAAUAUUUGAUUCAAAUGAAAGCUAUUAGAAAAUAAGAAAAGAGGUAAAAUACUGUGCACUUGAUUAUUUCAUGAAGAACAAAAGUAUGAUGCAUUGCAAAUGCAUAAUAGAGCCAGAAAUUAAUGAAAAAUGACAGUAAAGAUAUUUAUGUUACAAAAAAUAUCAAUUUCAAAUAAACGGUGCAGAAAAUAUUAAGAAUAAAUGUUUCUUGAGCAGCAAAUCAGCAUAUUAGAAUGAUUUCUGAAGGAUGAUGCGACACAACAGGAAUAAAUUACGUUAAAAUAUAGUAAAACAGAAAACAUUUAUUUUAUAUUAAAAUAAUAUUUCACAAUAGCACUAUUUUACUGUAUUUCAAUUUUAAAUGCAUACUUGGUGAGCAUAAGCAUUACCAACCCCAAGGUUUUGAACAGUAGUGUAUGUAAAGUAGAUUAAACUAACAGAACAUAUGUGUUUAGAGUAUGUAUAAUAUUUGUUCACAACAGUACAACAUUGGUCAAUCAAACCAACCUUAAAAGCAGUUAUAAAAAAUCUAACAUUCUCACCAGCUGGAAAGAAUUUACUUCUGAAGGAAAGGAUUUUUUGAGAAACCCGUUAUUCAUGCAAUUUCACACUUCCCCUUUAAUAUCUGCUUCAUUUAAUUUUUUUCUGUGCUAUGUGUGCAUAUGCAUAUUUCUUCAUCCUUUUACAUAAGCUAAAACACACAAAGAUACAGUCAUACUCACCCAAUCAAUGCUCUGUCUCUGCCGUCUGAUGAGUCAGUGUCUGCGCAGGAGCUGUUCAGGUAUGCAGCCGCACGAGCCCUCAUUUAAUUACAUUACUCUUUGCACUCAGGACAGUAAAAUGAUCUCACUGACAUUUUCUGCCCAUUGGACAGACAUCACUGUUUUCAGAGAAAUCUGCUAGUUGAACUUUAACUUUCAGCAUAAUAAAUGAUUGUAUUAGUCAUACAGGAGAGGUAAGAGGGGGGCAGACAGGUGGGAUGUGCUUAAUUGUGUGUAAGUGUGUCACUUUAUGAGUAAUGUGUAUGCUUUUUUUCUGGGUAAAACAUAUAACUUUUAUUACUAAGCCAUCAACAGGCAUUUUUACCAUCACAAUUACUGUUACUCAUACUUAAUAUGUUUGGAAUCCCACAUAGUUUAUGCAUUAUCAGUGCAAAUGUUCUAUUUUAUUUCCCGGUGGAUGAUAAAACAGGUGGAAAAAUACCGUAGACUUACAAUGAUGGAAAAAGUCAGAGAACUGAGCAUAGCCACUAUGUUAAGCGGUGCAAUGUGAUACGGACACGGCUGUGCAAGAGACGGAGCAGAAGUUUACCUGGGCCUUUGGUUAUGCUUAUUUUUCCAUGUUCCGCUCCGUCUCUCGUGCACAGAUUUCAAAGUAAACAAUGGUUGUGUCCAGUGUAGAUAUGGUGUUAGCAAUGGCCUUGCAAUCAUCCAUAACACCUUAGCAACUGCAUAACGAUGAGCUAAAAAAACCCCAAAAAAAACACUCAAAACAUCUUUUUAACAACAUAGCAACAGCCUAGCAAUCACUACAACACUCUACA